rnacentral:rRNA from 1 species
GACGAACGCUGGCGGCGUGCUUAACACAUGCAAGUCGAACGGAAAGGCCCUGCUUUUGUGGGGUGCUCGAGUGGCGAACGGGUGAGUAACACGUGAGUAACCUGCCCUUGACUUUGGGAUAACUUCAGGAAACUGGGGCUAAUACCGGAUAGGAGCUCCUGCUGCAUGGUGGGGGUUGGAAAGUUUCGGCGGUUGGGGAUGGACUCGCGGCUUAUCAGCUUGUUGGUGGGGUAGUGGCUUACCAAGGCUUUGACGGGUAGCCGGCCUGAGAGGGUGACCGGCCACAUUGGGACUGAGAUACGACCCAGACUCCUACGGGAGGCAGCAGUGGAGAAUAUUGCACAAUGGGCGGAAGCCUGAUGCAGCAACGCCGCGUGCGGGAUGACGGCCUUCGGGUUGUAAACCGCUUUCGCCUGUGACGAAGCGUGAGUGACGGUAAUGGGUAAAGAAGCACCGGCUAACUACGUG